ACUGGCAGAAGGGACCCUGAGCGAACCACAGGGACGCAAGAGGAAGAGGUGGUUCCGCAGGUCAGGCACUCGGGUCUGCCUGCCCUCUCUGUUCCCGCCUCCUCUUGACCUUUCGCCCCCUUCCUCGUAGCUUCCUAAUAUCAUCUUGGAGCACUAGAAUUUUCAGGGGCUCUGACUCUGAGUCCCAGAACCCUGUACCCGCCCUGUGGACAAUGCCGAGCGCGAUGCAGCCGGGCUCUGGAGCCUGACCCGGGGAGGCCGGAUUCAGCAUUUGGACAGCGGCUCGGGGGCCGGUUUGCGGCCCAAAGAGUUUGCAGGUGCACCGCCCUGGAUGAGGCGAGAUUGUCCUGUGAAGGGAAGUGAUGGCACAGGCUCUGAUCAGCUCUUCUGGGAACAGACAGAGAAGUGAGAAUUCCUGCCAAAGCCACAGGAUGAACACAGAGCCAAGAACCUGAACCAGAAAAAUCCAGCAGGAAAGGAACCUGCACUAGCCACCAUCCUGAGGCUGCUGUACAGGGAGCAAUCCUACCGCAGGGACUUGGCAGGAGACCAGGGGCCUGCUCCCCAGUCCUCCUCGAGGGCCUCUGUCACCGACCUGCUUGUCUAGGAUCUCCUUUCUUUCUGCUUGUGCCACAUCUUUCAGGCCUGUUCUGGGUCUGAUGUGCUAUAGAACACUCUGUUCAGGCACUUGGGAAAUAGAGACUUCAUCACCAGCAUUUCCACCCCCAAAGAACUAGGCAGCACACUGGGAAGUUGCCAAAGGAAGGGACUCCAGCCUCCCAGGAGUUAACAACAUUUCUCCCCAGCUAUCCUCCCCUUGGUGCUCCUCUUCCUCCCUCCUCCUGCUCACAGCAGGCAGGGCCUGGAACCAGGAGCCAUGCUGCUGUGCUGUUGCCAGGGGAGCUGGGAGGCAGAUCGGAGCUAUGCAGGGAAAAGGCUCGGCCUGUCAGAGUGUCUGAGAUGAACCACCGCCAUCCCUGUGCAGCUGGGCUCCAUGUGUCUCAGGGCUCUUGUUCUGUGCCUGAGAACGGUGAAGCCCAGCGAGGUUCAAGGGCACACUCGCUAUUCAUCAGUCGGGGGUUCUUGACGGUCCUGCCUCUCCCAGGGAUGGGUUCCCCCCUUCCUCUUUCUCUCCCUCCUAUGAUACAUUCCUGGGUGCCUGUGGUGAGGACUGCACACCCCCUUCUCCACAGCCCCCCCAAACCCUGAAUCAACUCCUAUUAAGGAGGCCAGGCGAGACAGGGACAAUGGCUUCAAGAAAUCAUUCAGGCGGGACCUCAGUCACAUUCGCAUGCCCGUCACUCCCAGAGCCCCUGUAGAUCCCACUCUGCUGUGAUUCAGGGACCCUUGGGCCCCCAGCUUGCACAUGCCUAGACAGGAGCAGGCCACUAGGUGCUGCCCUACACAACAGGCCAGUGCAGUGUUUGUUCUCAGGGACCCUGGGGCCUCCAUCCCACUGGCUGGAUAGUGUGUGCAGUCAGUUGGAGAGCAGAAACUACAAUAUUUUCUGAAAUGUGGUAAUAUCAAGAUAUAAGAGGCACAUAUACGUGAUGACUAAUUUCACUUCAGAUAUACUGGAAAAGUUUGCUAAGAACAUGGACAAAGACCUGUGGUUGAGUAACGAGUCAUUUCAUUCCAUGGAAUAUUACACACCUGUAAGACUGUGGUAGAUCUACCUCUGCAUGCAGGCUGAUAGGGAAGGUUGCUAAUAUACUUAAGUGAAUAGAAUAAAGUACAAAACAGUCAA
rnacentral:lncRNA from 1 species